GUCUCCAAUUUUUCAAGCUCCUCCUCCACCGGCAAUGGCAGUCGGCAUGGAGUAGUUCGACUUGCUGGUUUAACAGGUCAGGGGCCUCACCGAAGUAGUGCAGGCUAUGCAGCAGCAGCCACAGGCAUCUAUGUGCUGGAAAGAGCAUCAUCAAAGUUUCAGAAGCCAAUGAUUGGGUAGCCCACUUGGGCCAGUCGCCCUGUAUCCCUCGAAAAGGGGAAGCAGAGGGCGGAGAGCCCUCUAUCUUAUCAUGAUUUCAUCCCCGGAGGGUCUCUACCUCCAUUCUACCAGAAGACCCUCGAGAUUCAUGAUCGAGAGGAUCUCCUAGAUCAAAGGUUCCAAGAGAUGAAC
rnacentral:lncRNA from 1 species